rnacentral:rRNA from 1 species
AUACGUAGGGGGCGAGCGUUGUCCGGAAUUACUGGGCGUAAAGGGCGUGUAGGCGGCCCUUCAAGUCGGCUGUGAAAGUCCCCGGCUCAACCGGGGGAUUGCAGUCGAAACUGGGGGGCUUGAGUGCAGGAGAGGAGGGUGGAAUUCCCGGUGGAGCGGUGAUAUGCGUAGAUAUCGGGAGGAACACCGGUGGCGAAGGUGACCUUCUGGCCUGUUACUGACGCUGAGGCGCGAAAGCCGGGGGAGCAAACAGGAUUAGAUACCCUGGUAGUCCCGGCCGUAAACGCUGGGUACUAGGUGUAGGGGGCUUUGAUGCCUUCUGUGCCGUAGUUAACGCAUUAAGUACCCCGCCUGGGGAGUACGUGCGCAAGCAUGAA